UGAAUUAAUAAUUACUGUCACAUUGUUCUGUGUUUCAGUUUAUUCUGCCGUCAGUUGGUGCCAACCAUUGAAUUGAUCCUCUUUGCCAAAGCAAGAAGUGCCCGCCUACCGAAGAAUGUCGGGUUGCCAAGUGGUGCUUUAUGUCACGAGUUGUGCCACUAACCUGCUGGCUAAAACCUGUGUGCGUUGAAAGGAACACUCUUAGGCAUCACGGGUGUCCUAUAGGGAGGCCACUUCUACGAAAAAGAAACCAAAUGUGGGAAAUCGCCUCCUGUUCACCGGGUAUCCCGUGUCCAAAGAACUUUUACUGCAAACAAGAACGAGAGAACCUGUGUUGUCGCUGUGAUACAGACAGACCCUAGGAGGUUUAGAAUCUGUGAACACGGGCUGGACUGACACCGACUGUCCCCACAUCUUCAGUGUUGUGAUGUGGGCUGCGCUAAGAAUUGUAACUUUAGAAAUGAUUGAGGGGCAUCCUCACAACCUCUAAAAAUCUGAUCAUCACAAAUUUCAAAUUAUCUAUUUACUGAUAAGAUUAUUAAUAUAAGAAAGUUUAUUAUAAAAUAUGUGUAAGAGUGCCCCUCACACUUUAAUAUUUUAAGUUAUAUGUAUUAAAGAAAAUCCCGCGACCAACGGAAAAAAAUCCUUUUACCUUUUUCACUUCAAAUAAAAGUUUUGAUUUUUUUUAAAAACUGAUUUUGUCUUCAACGUUUUAGUCUCUUUUCGGCCUGUAUGUUCUCAUACGAAGCAUUUCACACAGGAACUAUCACACAGCAGGAUCAGUUCAUAACGACAAAAUUAUUAAGUGGACAAAUAAAAUAAAAGGUUAAAUUCAUAUGACAUUUGUUACGAAAAGAUAACACUGGACAGUAAUCCUUCUUCAAAGAGGUAAAUUAUAUUUCAUGUGAAAUAAAUUAAUAGAAGGUUGUGCAGUUUUACUUUUGACACUCAUUCUACAAAUUCAGAUUCUCUCAUUGCUCUAUGUUCUUAAAACAACUGAUGUUGAUAAAGUGAUGUCAAACUUGUUGAUUCAGUUUACACCUUGACUAUUCUCUACUAGCGAAAUUACGAAACUUAUGAAAUAUUUCAAGAUUGAUAAAGCCAUUACAAAAAAAACUUACAUCUAAAACUCACUUAAAACUUACAUCACAGGUAUUCUAGACAGAUAUUUUGCUUUUUAUGAAAUCUUCAGCCAUAGGUGUAUAAUACAAUAGAAAGGUAUCUUUUUUUAAAAAUUGUUGAGUGUGAAUAGCUAUCUGCAAUCUUUUUUGUGGAGAGAUGGCAAUAUAUUCUUUGCAUAUGUAUAAGGUCAACAUUAGUUGUCUAUUUUGUGCACCAUUCACAAAAAACUACAAUAUAAAGCCUGAUUUGUGCUGCUUAACCUAACCAAAAUAAACACCUUUGAUAUUGUUUGUUUGUUAUUGUAGUGGUUUAAUGACUGUCACGUUUGUGAGAAUGCAGGCGGUUGUGACUGGGACUAGCCACUGGCUGCAACAUUGAAAGAGUUAUUUCAGGUCAAGGCUACUAAGUACUGCCUCCACUCGACAAACAGAACGGCCUGGGGUGGGCGGUCAAAGACAGGGAAUGAUAGCAUGCAGCUUAUUCUGACCAAGAAUGUAUCAGUAACUAUUCCACACAGGACACUGAGGAUAGACUUACAGUCGGAUGACACCAGCGACUGCGAUUGCCCGGGAGACUAGCAAGCGGUCUUGGGGGCUUGAACAUUUCGUGAAGACAUUGUCCUUGGUGCGAAUAAGAACAUCAUCAAUGGUAUGGAGCUGAACCAAGAUAAAAGGGUUGUCAUAACGACAGGGGAGAAGAGCUUGGAGAGCAGAUGGCGAGUCUGAAAUGAUGAAGAUGUUCUGCUGUAAGAUAAUUGUUGUAAGGCCAGCACGAUGACAGGACGUUCCGCAGAGAAUAUGAAACAACUCUCCGCAAGACGGGCUGGAGAUGCCUGUUGUUGCUGGUAGGAUGGAACUGCUGCUGCAGCUACAGGUCAAUGA